rnacentral:rRNA from 1 species
CCUACGGGAGGCAGCCGUGAGGAAUAUUGGUCAAUGGGCGAGAGCCUGAACCAGCCAAGUCGCGUGAGGGAAGACGGUCCUAUGGAUUGUAAACCUCUUUUGCCGGGGAGCAAAAAGCGGUACGUGUACCGCAUCGCGAGUACCCGGAGAAAAAGCAUCGGCUAACUCCGUGCCAGCAGCCGCGGUAAUACGGAGGAUGCGAGCGUUAUCCGGAUUUAUUGGGUUUAAAGGGUGCGCAGGCGGCGAGUUAAGUCAGCGGUAAAAUUUCGGGGCUCAACCCCGACAAGCCGUUGAAACUGGCUUGAUAGAGUGGGCGAGAAGUAUGCGGAAUGCGUGGUGUAGCGGUGAAAUGCAUAGAUAUCACGCAGAACUCCGAUUGCGAAGGCAGCAUACCGGCGCCCAACUGACGCUCAGGCACGAAAGCGUGGGUAUCGAACAGGAUUAGAUACCCCUGUAGUC